rnacentral:rRNA from 1 species
GAUGAACGCUGGCGGCGUGCUUAACACAUGCAAGUCGAACGAGAAAUGUAGACGGAAACCUUCUGGCGGAAUCCUUCAUUUCUAGUGGCGGACGGGUUAGUCACGCGUGGGUAACCUGCCUCAUACAGGGGGAUAACAGUUGGAAACGACUGUUACUACCGCAUAAGACCACAGCAUCGCAUGAUUCGGGGGUUAGAACUCCGGUGGUAUGAUAUGGACCCGCGUUAGAUUAGCGAGUUGGCGGGGUAACUGCCCACCAAAGCGACGAUCGAUAGCCGAGCUGAGAGGAGGACAGGCUACAAUGGGAAUGAGACACGGACCAAAAUCGUACGGGAGGAAGGAGAGGGGAAUAUUGCACAAUGGGGGAAAACCUGAUGAAGCGACGCCGGGUGAGUGAAGAAGUAGGUCGGUAAGUAAAGCUGUAUCAGAAGGGAAGAAAAUGACGGUACCUGAGUAAGAAGCACCGGCUAACUACGUG